rnacentral:rRNA from 1 species
GCCAGACUCCUACGGGAGGCAGCAGUGAGGAAUAUUGGUCAAUGGGCGGAAGCCUGAACCAGCCAAGUCGCGUGAGGGAAGAAGGCCCUGCGGGUCGCAGACCUCUUUGGACGGGGAGCAAGGCCGCCGACGUGUCGGCGGAAGGAGGGUACCCGUAGAACAAGCAUCGGCUAACUCCGUGCCAGCAGCCGCGGUAAUACGGAGGAUGCGAGCGUUAUCCGGAUUUACUGGGUGUAAAGGGAGCGCAGGCGGCCUUGCAAGUCUGAUGUGAAAGGCCGGGGCCCAACCCCGGGACUGCAUUGGAAACUGCGAGGCUGGAGUGUCGGAGAGGCAGGCGGAAUUCCUAGUGUAGCGGUGAAAUGCGUAGAUAUUAGGAGGAACACCAGUGGCGAAGGCGGCCUGCUGGACGAUGACUGACGCUGAGGCUCGAAAGCGUGGGGAGCAAACAGGAUUAGAUACCCGAGUAU